AGCGAACGCUGGCGGCAGGCCUAACACAUGCAAGUCGAACGAACCCUUCGGGGUUAGUGGCGGACGGGUGAGUAACACGUGGGAACGUGCCUUUAGGUUCGGAAUAACUCAGGGAAACUUGUGCUAAUACCGAAUGUGCCCUUCGGGGGAAAGAUUUAUCGCCUUUAGAGCGGCCCGCGUCUGAUUAGCUCGUUGGUGAGGUAAUGGCUCACCAAGGCUACGAUCAGUAGCUGGUCUGAGAGGAUGACCAGCCACCUUGGGACUGAGACACGGCCCAAACUCCUACGGGAGGCAGCGUUGGGGAAUCGUGCGCAAUGGGCGAAAGCCUGACGCAGCCAUGCCGCGUGGAUGAUGAAGGUCUUAGGAUUGUAAAAUCCUUUCACCGGUGAAGAUAAUGACUGUAGCCGGAGAAGAAGCCCCGGCUAACUUCGUGCCAGCCGCCGCGGUAAAAC
rnacentral:rRNA from 1 species